rnacentral:rRNA from 1 species
UACAGAGGUCUCAAGCGUUGUUCGGAUUCAUUGGGCGUAAAGGGCGCGUAGGCGGCGGGGUCAGUCGGGUGUGAAAUCUUGGGGCUUAACCCCGAAACGGCACUCGAAACUGCCCGGCUGGAGGGCCGGAGAGGAGAUCGGAAUUCACGGUGUAGCAGUGAAAUGCGUAGAGAUCGUGAGGAAGACCCGUGGCGAAGGCGGAUCUCUGGACGGCUAAAACUGACGCUGAGGCGCGAAGGCCAGGGGAGCAAACAGG